rnacentral:rRNA from 1 species
AUUGAACGCUGGCGGCAGGCCUAACACAUGCAAGUCGAGCGAGCGGCGGACGGGUGAGUAAUGUAUGGGGACUGCCCGAUAGAGGGGGAUAACUACUGGAAACGGUGGCUAAUACCGCAUACUAUCGGAUAACCCAUAUGGGAUUAGCUAGUAGGUGGGGUAAAGGCUCACCUAGGCGACGAUCUCUAGCUGGUCUGAGAGGAUGAUCAUCCACACUGUGCUUGAGACACGGCCCAGACUCAUAAGGAGGCGGAAGGGGGAAAUAUUGUACAAUGGGCGAAGGUCUUAGGCAGCCUGGCCGCGUGGAUGAAGAGGGCCUUAGGGGUGUAAAGUACUUUCAGGGGGGAGGUGUUACCCGCAGAAGAAGCCCCGGCUAACGCCGUGCCAGCAGCCGCGGUAAUUC